UUGAAGUUAAAUAUUUUGACCAAGAAGAUGACACAGUUACGGAAGAUGUAGGAGACGAAUUCGGAUCCGAUGGUUGCUUAGAGAUUUUGAAAACGUGAAUAGUACCAUUUUCAGAAGCACAAGCCAGAAAAGGCUCAACUGGGUGAAAUGAGAUAGAUACAAUGGAUGCAGGUAUAUAUCCCCUGCGCAAUUCUGUCACCAAUUCACCAUCACUAGUUGUUAUAACACGGAUUACAGUUCCCUUUGCGGAUGCAGUCGCAAUCAAAUGUCCACGCGGAUGAAAGUCAACUACUUGGACAGCGGAAGAAUGGCAAUGAAUCAAUGUGACGGGUAUUGCAGUAUCCAAUGAGGCUA